AGACUACAGACAUUUGAACAAUAUGCGGAAGAAGAUGGGUCUGGAACUAGAAAGCUAGGCUCUGACUUGUCUACUACAGCAAGGAAUGUGCCAGCGGCCAAUCUGAUGAACAUGUGGCAGAAGAUUUGGCAAUGGAUGAAGAAACACUGAGAUUGAAGUGCAACCACAGGUGGAGGCUUCACCCAAACUUUUCAGACGGACAUGAGAUACAAAGUUACCCAAGUAUAAAUGGUUGAAGGUUUAGGAGAGCCAGACAAGAAGGCAGGAAAUGUGAUGUCACUUUUCCAUUUCAGUUACUUCAAUAAACAUGGACAGCAGCCGGAGCAACAGCACCAGCAGCCAAAACCACAACUGCAGUAAGAGAUGCAACAACCACACCAACAACAUGAAGAGCAACAGCAAAAAUAACAAUUGCAGCAGAAAUGCAACAACCACAUUGGCAACAUCAACAGCAGCAGGAGCUCCAAUAACCAUGCAGGGAACAUUGGGCGCAACAUAAAUAACUUCAUAAAGAGAUGCAACAACCAAGUGUUAAACAUCAACAGCAGUAGCAACAACGACAGUAGAAACAAAGCCAACAGCAAGGAUUCUAACAAGCAAUCAUACAGGUAACAACACAAGCUGCAACAUCAAUAAAUGCAUCAGGAGAUGCAACAGCCACACUCGUAAACAGCAGCAGUAGCAGCGAUGACAACAGCAACCACACAGGCAACACCUUCAGCAACAUCAGUAGCAACAACAACUAAUUGCACCAGGAGAUGCAACAAUCACACCCACAACACCAAGAGCAGCAGCAAAAACAACAGCAAUUCCAGCAACCACGAUGACAACAGCAGCAGCAACACCAACAACACUAAUCAAUAUUGAAAAACUUGUACGAAAGUCAAUGAGGCCACAGUUUUCAAACAUUAUCGGACAUUAUUGAUUAAAAAAUGCACAAUAAUUUAUUCGGGUUGAAGAAAAUUAUGUUUGAAAAAAUGUGUACAUUUGAAGAUGUUUCCUAUGUAUUGAUUAAUAUUUAUGAAAAUAUAGUUUUAAAGAUAAAAAUAUGAUUCUUGAAAUGUCUACUUUUUAUUUGUCAUUGACUAAAAAUAAAUACAUUUUCUUUGAAUUUUCUUAAUGAAAUGAAAAAUAAGCAAUUUUUUAAAAUCUUAUAUUCAAAAUCAACUGAAAUUGAUCGAUUUUAGCUGCUAAGGUAUACAAAAGGCUGAUUAGUUGGUGAAAAUGGGUUUUGUCGGUAGGUGAAGACCACCGACAAAAUUAGUCGGUAGUUUCCAAUGAUUCGUCGGAGAAAAUCACCGACAAAUUUUCAUGAAAUGGAAUUUAGUCGGUGAUAGCAAAAUUGUCGAUGAAAAUUAAAUUAGUCGGUGAAAAUCACAAUUAGUCGGAGAAAACCACCGACUAAUUGUUUGAUGAAACGCCCCCCCCCCUAGAGGACAGUCAGUGUCUUUGAGUCGAUCAGGAUUUCUGUCUAACAGGCUGAUGGGUGAUCCAAACUCCUUACGUGCGCAGGACAGGCGGUUGUGUACUCCCCAGGGUAGGAAUUAAUAAUUUAUUUUUAGGGGCUACUUUUUUUUUUACGUUGGGGUUACCACUGAAUAUCUUGGGGCUAUUUUCUAAUUCAUGGGGCUACUUUUUUUAAUCGCAUAUCAGCAAUUACCUUUUGACAUUCCGAGACUCACUGUGACGCCUAAUAGCUCAGAACAUAUUUAACUGUAAUUACUGUAUACAUGUAAGUUUGCAUUUUGGUUGAGGAUUUGUUCAAAUAGACUCAAAGAUCACAUAUAUGAUAUUAAAGAAAGGUGUUCACCAU